GACGGAGGGGGCUAGCGUUGUUCGGAAUUACUGGGCGUAAAGGGCGCGUAGGCGCCAAUCAAGUUAGGCGUGAAAUCCCUGGGCUUAACCCAGGAACUGCGUUUAAUACUGAUUGGCUAGAGAUUGGUAGAGGAAAGUGGAAUUCCUAGUGUAGAGGUGAAAUUCGUAGAUAUUAGGAAGAACACCAGAGGCGAAGGCGACUUCUGGGCCAAUACUGACGCUGAGGCGCGACAGCGUGGGGAUCAAACAGG
rnacentral:rRNA from 1 species